rnacentral:tRNA from 1 species
AAGACACUAGUAAAAACACGAUUACAUUGCCUUGUCGAGGCAAAAUUGUGGGUUAGACCCCCACGUGCCUUG